CAGAGUUCAUGCCCUCCAUGGGUAGAUCUCCCACCCUUGCGUAUUCAUACCUUUGUUGCUUUGGCAGGCGCACGCCAGCCAGAGGAUCUCCAAACUCCGGUUGUUAGUGUCGUCUGAGUAUCAUGCAAUCGUUA
rnacentral:misc_RNA from 1 species